rnacentral:rRNA from 1 species
AGUGAACGCUGGCGGUAGGCCUAACACAUGCAAGUCGAACGGCAGCACAGUAAGAGCUUGCUCUUACGGGUGGAGAGUGGCGGACGGGUGAGGAAUACAUCGGAAUCUACUUUUUCGUGGGGGAUAACGUAGGGAAACUUACGCUAAUACCGCAUACGACCUACGGGUGAAAGCAGGGGAUCUUCGGACCUUGCGCGAUUGAAUGAGCCGAUGUCGGAUUAGCUAGUUGGCGGGGUAAAGGCCCACCAAGGCGACGAUCCGUAGCUGGUCUGAGAGGAUGAUCGGCCCCACUGGAACUGAGACACGGUCCAGCCUCCUACGGGAGGCACCAGUGGGGACUAUUGGACAAUGGGCGCAAGCCUGCUCCAGCCAUACCGCGUGGGUGAAGAAGGCCUUCGGGUUGUAAAGCCCUUUUGUUGGGAAAGAAAAGCAGCAGGUUAAUACCCCGCUGUUCUGACGGUACCCAAAGAAUAAGCACCGGCUAACUUCGUG